UACGUAGGGGGCGAGCGUUGUCCGGAGUUACUGGGCGUAAAGGGCGCGCAGGCGGUCUGGUAAGUUUGGAGUGACAGUGCUCGGCUUAACUGAGCAAGGCCUUCGAAAACUGCUAGACUUGAGCACUCAAGAGGGACAUAGAAUUCCGGGUGGAGUGGUGAAAUGCGUAGAUAUCCGGAGGAAUACCAAAGGCGAAGGCAGUGUCCUGGGGAGUGUCUGACGCUCAGGCGCGAAAGCUAGGGGAGCAAACGGG
rnacentral:rRNA from 1 species